CAGCUGUUGGUAGAGGGCGCUUUGAGAGUUGCUAUAAUCAGGAUUGAAGAUUUGGAGCAGCACAACGCGUAUUCCGAUCAUGUAACGUGGACGGUUUGUUGCAGCUGUUGUUGUUGUAGUUGUUGUUGUUGUGGGUUUUGUUGUGGUGGUUGUUGUGGGGGCUGUUGUGGUAGUUGCCGCAGCUGUUGUGGUAGUUGCAGCAGCUGUUGUAGGGGCUUUUGUGGUAGUGGUGGUAGCUGUUGUGGGUGCUGUUGUGGCUGUCGUUGUAGUUACACCAACUGUUGUGGUAGCUGUUGUGGUAGUGGUGGGAGCUGUUGUGGUAGUUGCUGCAGCUGUUGUGGCUGUCGUUGUAGUUGCAGCAACUGUUGUGGUAGCUGUUGUGGUAGUGGUGGGAGCUGUUGUGGUAGUUGCAGCAGCUGUUGUGGGGGCGUUUGUGGUAGUGGUGGGAGCUGUUGUGGUAGUUGCUGCAGCUGUUGUGGUGGUUGCAGCAGCUGUUGUGGUAGUUGCUGGAGCUGUUGUGGUAGUUGUAGUUGCUGUUGUGGGGGCCAUUGUGGGUGCUGUUGUGGUAGUGGUGGUAGCUGUUGUGGUAAGUGCUGCAGCUGUUAUGGGGGCUGUUGUGGUGGAUGCAGCAGCUGUUGUUGUUGUAGUCGCUGUUGUUGCUGUUGUGGGUGCUGUUAUGGGAGCUGUGGUAGUUGCAGCAGCUGUUGUGGUAGUUUUUGGAGCUGUUGUGGGUGCUGUUGUGGUAGUGGUGGGAGCUGCUGUGGGUGCUGUUGUGGUAGUUGCUGCAGCUGUUGUGGUAGUUGCAGCAGCAGUUGUGGUGGUGGUUGCAGCAGCUGUUGUGGUAGUUGCAGCAGCUGUUGUGGUGGUUGCAGCAGCUGCUGUGGUAGUUGCAGCAGCUGUUGUGGUGGUUGCUGGAGCGUUUGUGGUGGUUGCAGCAGCUGUUGUGGUAGUUGGAGCAGCUGUUGUGCUAGUUUCUGGAGCUGUUGUGGGUGCUGUUGUGGUGGUUGCAGCAGCUGUUGUGGUAGUUUCUGGAGCUGUUGUGGUGGUUGCUGAAGCUGUUGUGGUGGUUGCAGCAGCUGUUGUGGUAGUUGGAGCAGCUGUUGUGGUAGUUGCAGCAGCUGUUGUGGUAGUUUCUGAAGCUGUUGUGGGUGCUGUUGUGGUAGUGGUGGGUGCUGUUGUGGUAGUUGCUGCAGCUGUUGUGGUGGUUGCAGCAGCUGUUGUGGUAGUUGCUGGAGCUGUUGUGGUAGUUGUAGUUGCUGUUGUGGGGGCCAUUGUGGGUGUUGUUGUGGUAGUGGUGGUAGCUGUUGUGGUAAGUGCUGCAGCUGUUAUGGGGGCUGUUGUGGUGGUUGCAUUAGCUGUGGUUGUUGUAGUCGCUGUAGUUGCUGUUGUGGGUGCUGUUAUGGGAGCUGUGGUACUUGCAGCAGCUGUUGUGGUAGUUUCUGGAGCUGUUGUGGGUGCUGUUGUGGUAGUGGUGGGAGCUGCUGUGGCAGCUGUUGUGGUAGUUUCUGGAGCUGUUGUGGUAGUUGCAGCAGCUGUUGUGGUGGUUGCAGCAGCUGCUGUGGUAGUUGCAGCAGCUGUUGUGGUUGCUGGAGCUGUUGUGGUGGUUGCAGCAGCUGUUGUGGUAGUUGGAGCAGCUGUUGUGGUAGUUGCAUCAGCUGUUGUGGUAGUUUCUGGAGCUGUUGUGGUGGUUGCAGCAGCUGUUGUGGUAGUUUCUGGAGCUGUUGUGGUUGUUGCUGGAGCUGUUGUGGUGGUUGCAGCAGCUGUUGUGGUAGUUGGAGCAGCUGUUGUGGUAGUUGCAGCAGCUGUUGUGGUAGUUAUUGUUGCUGUCGUGGGAGCCAUUGUGGGUGCUGUUGUGGUAGUGGUGGUUGCUGUUGUGGUAAUUAAUGCAGCUGUUAUGGGGGCUGUUGUGGUGGUUGCAGCAGCUGUGGUUGUUGUAGUCGCUGUAGUUGCUGUUGUGGGUGCUGUGGUGGUAGUUGUAGUUGCUGUUAUGGGGGCCGUUGUAGUAGUUGUAGUUGCUGUUGUGGGGGCUGUUGUGGUAGUUGUAGUUGCUGUUAUGGGGGCCGUUGUAGUAGUUGUAGUUGCUGUUGUGGGUUCCACUGAAGUUGUUGUUGUGAUCUCUGAGGAAUCAAGGGGGUCAUUUCAGUAAAUCUGUGCUGACAAUGCCCUCCUUUAAACAAACACAUGGUUGAAUACAGGUAUGGAAAUAAUUGCUUGCUUACCUUCAAAUAUUCCUGAACCUUCCUCUAUGAUUUCCCGUCGGGC
ensembl:lncRNA